AAUAGUUUUUUAUUUUUUUAAUCAAAAAUUCAGCAAUUGAAAAUAAAAGCACGUUCGGUUAAAACUUUCUGUUUUUUGUUUUUUUAAUUUAAAAUCAAAUUUAUGUAAAUUUUAAAAAAAAUUUUUAAAUGAUUUUAAAAAAUUUUAAAAGCACUUUUUUCUCCUUUUCUCGCUUCUUCGUCAACUCUGCGAUUUCAAGCUCAACGGUCUUCAAUGGCUUCCUUUCAGUAUUCUUGCCGAAUUUGAAGCUAGGGUGUCGUUUUUGAAGUACUCAAUAGUUGUUCGGAGAAUUAAAACAGAUUGAAUAGAUGGCAUGAACAGAUAGUGAGGUGGUUAUGAUUGAUAAUAGCGAAGCUUCUGUUUGGCCUGAAAAACAUGAAGAAAUUUUUAUUGAACUCAUGGAAGAAGAAGUUGUGAAGGGAAAUAGGAAUACUACAACUUUUACAAAGCAAUCGUGGAAGCGUAUAAAGGAGGAGCUUUGUGCACAAGCAAAGAGAAGUUAUAUUGAUAAACAACUGAGGAACAAAUAUAAUUUGUUAAGACAAAAGCACAAGGAUUUCAAGUCUUUACUGAAAGAGACUUGCAUAGGAUUUAGUGUAGUGACUGGAGAAGUUACUGCACCAGAUGAAUAGUGGAAUAGGCUAAUUCAGGUUAACAAGUCAGCUAAUAAAUUUAGAAAAAAUGGUUGUGUACUUUAUGAAAAGUUAUGCAUUAUUUUCGGUGAUACCACUGCAACUGGUUCCAAUGCUCAUCCUUCAACUCUUGAUAAUGAUGAUGAUGAUGCUAUGUCAAAGAGUCCAUCUAUUAGGAAUCAAGAGAGUAGUUUUGAUGAGGAUGGUAGCAAAAGAAGAGGUAAAUCAACUUCCACUACGAGUUCUCGAUCGGCAAAAAAAGCAAAGUUUUCACUCGCAUUGGCAGAAACAUUGACAGUGUAUAAUGAAACCGCAAAGCGAAAGAUGGAAAUGUAUGAGAAUUCAAUGACAUCGACAAAACAUCACUUAUUGGAUGAGUAUAUUGAAGCUCUCAAUCAAAUUGAUGUAAUCAGUGGAGAAGUAUAUGCAAAGGCUAUUGAGAAGUUUGAGAGCGAAGUGUCUAGAGCAUUGUUUCUAAAGAUGCCAGUUAAUAGAAGAAUUGAUUGGUUGAACUAUUUGAAGUGAUUUUUUUUUUAGUUUGUUUAGCCUUUACACUUUAUAAUUGUUGAGAUUUAUGAAUGAUUUAGUUUCUAUGAAUAACUUUGUUUGUAAGCAUGACUUUGUUUGUAUGACAUUGUUUGUAUGAAUGACUUGUUAGUUAUUUACUUUA